rnacentral:lncRNA from 1 species
AGGAGUUACCCAUUUGCCAAUAUUUAAUCCUGGCCAUUUUACCAACUUUUUAUCAAUGAUGCUACCCACAUUUCCCUUUCUCCUCCUUUCAUCCUGGGUUCAUCAUGGUCAUUUGGGGUAAAUUUGCUUCCACUCCUCUAAUUUCACCUGCCUGUCACUCUGCUACUGGGAGAUUUAUACAGAAAAAUAAAGAAAUCAAUGAGUUGCCAUGGAUACAAACUUCCAUCCAAUGCUCCAAUAUCCUUGCCACAAGAAAUUUAGAUGGUGAGGGAAAUUGCGGUGGUGAUAUUGGGUAAGGUACAUCUCCCCUUGUAAAAAACCUGUAAAAAACUCAGUGGGCCCUUUGGCAAGACACACAUAGGCUCAGUUGCUCCUGUAAAACAAGAACAGCUACUCUCUAUUUACUAGCAGGAAGCACCUGUUGUUCAGAAAUUCUAAGAGAUUUAAGAUUUAAAAGGCGAUAAGGUCAUUUGUUAGCUGAGCACAUCAACCCCGCACAUCAGGCCAACCCAAGCAACACCUGACCUAGAUCUGGCCACGAAUCAAUUGGGCUAGUUUUAAAAUUUAUAGAGUCUGGUGGGAGCAGGGAAAGGAGAUGCUAUCUCGUUCCCACCAACCACACUGCAGAGAGGAGUCUCCAAGCAUUCCCGAGAAUGCCACAGGAAAGAGAUAAGUUUUCAGAAAGACUUGAUUUAAGACCCCCCCCCCAAUGCAGGCAGCCAAGUGAAUGCUAGGGACCAUGCAAUAAUGAUCUCACUGAGCGCCCGUGGGGUGGGAUGGUUCGGGCAACUUCCUCCCCACAACUUUCCCCAACCUGCUGCCCCCCAGAUGCUGUUGACCUCUCAUCAGCCCCAGCCAGAAUGACCAAUGGUAGGGGAGAUGGGAGGUGAAAUCCCAAACUUCUGGAGGGUACCAGGAUGGGAAAGGUUGCUACACAGCAAGCCCCUGCAUGGCAACUGGCCUGCAUCUGGUCCACCAAAUCCCCGCUGACACUACCUUGCAAACAUAAAUUCCAUUAUAGUGCAGGACUUCAGCCAACUGGCACAAGUUAGAAACUGAGUACGAUUUCAGGAGACUUAUUUCCAUGAGUUUCAGUUCUGCAGAAGCUUCUUAAACUGAAGACAAGGGCCCGAUGAAUGUUUCUAUUUAAUCCUAUCAUUGGAUUACUGGUAAACACUAGGCUGCUUCAGAACCAGAAAGGUGUACAACUUUAAAAUGGUCAAUUGCCCAAAAUUCAAUUUCUUCUUGUUGUUGUUUGGUUAACAGCCAGUGUCAAAUCUUGGGUGCUGCUGACACUGGUGUAAUGGGUCUAUGUUAGGGCUGUACACUGUUCCCCCAAUCCAAUUUGAGGCCUGAUCCAGUGCUUCAGAGCAGCCCUGCUCCAACCCAGGACCUGA